AACGCACAUUGCGCCUACCGGAAUUCCGGUAGGCAUAUCUGUCUGAGCGUCAGCAAACCAUCUCCGGUCGGUUCUUCGGAUCGACUCGGGCCUUGGGUACGGAAGCGAUCGGGGGGGUUUAUCUCCCGCUUCCUGCCCUAAAUCGUGUUUGAACGACCGCACCCGACAUCCGGCCAGGUCCAUAGAGUGGUAUUGAAAUUCUAUGAACGGUCGGGUGAUAGGUUCGCGGCAUCAAAAAGGCUCAGGUUAACCGCCUGUUGACUACGAUUUGACCUCAGAUCAGAUAAGGAUACCCACUGAACUUAA
rnacentral:misc_RNA from 1 species